CCUACGGGUGGCAGCAGUGGGGAAUAUUGCACAAUGGGGGAAACCCUGAUGCAGCGACGCCGCGUGAGUGAAGAAGUAUUUCGGUAUGUAAAGCUCUAUCAGCAGGAACGAGACAAGACGGUACCUGACUACGAAGCCCCGGUUAACUACGUGCCAGCAGCCGCGGUAAUACGUAGGGGGCAAGCGUUAUCCGGAAUCACUGGGUGGAAAGGGCGCGUAGACGGCUGUGCAAGCCAGAAGUGAAAGGCGGGGGGCCAAACCCUGGAUUGCUUUGGGAACGGUACGGCUGGAGUGCAGGAGAGGUAAGUGGAACUACAGGUGUAGCGGUAAAAUGCGUAAAUAUAUGUAAGAACACCAGUGGCGAAGGCGGCUUGCUGGGUCGAUACUGACAUUGAGGCACGAAAGCGUGGGGAGCAAACAGGAUUAGAUACCCCAGUAGUC
rnacentral:rRNA from 1 species